rnacentral:tRNA from 2 species
GUCCCGUUCGUCUAUCGGUUAGGACGUCAGGUUUUCAACCUGAAAAGACGAGUUCGAUUCUCGUACGGGAUGCCA